rnacentral:rRNA from 1 species
GUGCAGCAGGCGCGAAAACUUUACAAUGUGCGAAAGCACGAUAAGGGAACUCUGAGUGCCUCCUAAGGAGGCUGUUCAGGUGUCUAAAAAGCACCUGGAGUAAGGGCUGGGUAAGACCGGUGCCAGCCGCCGCGGUAACACCGGCAGCCCAGGUGGUAGCCACUUUUAUUGGGUCUAAAGCGUCCGUAGCCGGUUGAGUAAGUUCCUUGGGAAAUUUGGCUGCUCAACAGUCAAGCUUCCAGGGAAUACUGCUCGACUUGGGGACUGGGAGAGGUCAGAGGUACUCCAGGGGUAGGGGUGAAAUCCAUUAAUCCCUGGGGGACCACCGGUAGCGAAGGCGUCUGACCAGACCAGGUCCGACGGUGAGGGACGAAGGCUAGGGUCGCGAACCGGAUUAGAUACCCGUGUAGU